CAGCCGCGGCCCAGGGGACCAGCCCGCACGCUCUGGCAGCGCUCCGGGCGUCUCCUCGCGGCCGCCAACAACUGAAUAAACACGCCAGAGCGCUGCGAUCUGUCAAGGGCCGGGGCUACCC
ensembl:misc_RNA